rnacentral:rRNA from 1 species
UUGCUAGUGCUGACGAGUGGCGGACGGGUGAGUAACGCGUAGGAAUCUGCCUAGUAGUGGGGGAUAGCCCGGAGAAAUCCGGAUUAACACCGCAUACGCCCUACGGGGGAAAACAGGGGAUCUUCGGACCUUGUGCUAUUAGAUGAGCCUGCGUUAGAUUAGCUAGUUGGUGGGGUAAGAGCUCACCAAGGCAACGAUCUAUAGCUGGUCUGAGAGGAUGAUCAGCCACAUCGGGACUGAGACACGGCCCGGACUCCUACGGGAGGCAGCAGUGGGGAAUAUUGGACAAUGGGCGAAAGCCUGAUCCAGCAAUGCCGCGUGUGUGAAGAAGGCCUGAGGGUUGUAAAGCACUUUCAAUUGUGAAGAAGCGUUUGUAUCUAAUAGGUAUAAGCGUUGACGUUAACUUUAGAAGAAGCACCGGCUAACUCCGUGCCAGCAGCCGCGGUAAUACGGAGGGUGCAAGCGUUAAUCGGAAUUACUGGGCGUAAAGCGCGCGUAGGCGGUUAUUUAAGUCAGAUGUGAAAUCCCCGGGCUUAACCUGGGAAUGGCCUCUGAUACUGGGUAACUAGAGUUUGGAAGAGGGGAGUAGAAUUUCAGGUGUAGCGGUGAAAUGCAUAGAGAUCUGAAGGAAUACCAGUGGCGAAGGCGAC